CCUACGGGAGGCAGCAGUGGGGAAUAUUGGACAAUGGGGGGAACCCUGAUCCAGCCAUGCCGCGUGUGUGAAGAAGGCCCUCGGGUUGUAAAGCACUUUCAGUGAGGAAGAACGCCUGGUGGUUAAUACCCAUCAGGAAAGACAUCACUCACAGAAGAAGCACCGGCUAACUCCGUGCCAGCAGCCGCGGUAAUACGGAGGGUGCGAGCGUUAAUCGGAAUUACUGGGCGUAAAGCGCGCGUAGGUGGCUUGAUAAGCCGGUUGUGAAAGCCCCGGGCUCAACCUGGGAACGGCAUCCGGAACUGUCAAGCUAGAGUGCAGGAGAGGAAGGUAGAAUUCCCGGUGUAGCGGUGAAAUGCGUAGAGAUCGGGAGGAAUACCAGUGGCGAAGGCGGCCUUCUGGACUGACACUGACACUGAGGUGCGAAAGCGUGGGUAGCAAACAGGAAUAGAUACCCGAGUAGUC
rnacentral:rRNA from 1 species